AUGGAAUGGGACACAGCGAAUGGCAUGGCGUGGCACGGCGUGGCACCCAGGGAAUGGCACGGCGUGGCACAGCCAGUGGGGACAGGGGACAGCCAUAACACCAUCCCUGCCUUGCCACCCUCCACGAGCAGUGGCACAAAUGUGUCACCCUCCCCCGUGUCCCCAGUGGGAGCCCGCCCUGCGGGGUGUGACCAGGGAUCUCGGGGUGGCAACAAUCUCCCGGCAACGGCCGGUGCCGCUCCCCACGGUGUCCCCGGAGUCCCCGCGUGGGGACAUCUCUGGGCUCUGCCAAGCAUCCUGUCCCCUCGUGUCCUCCCGUGUCCCCAGGCUGUCCCUGUGCUCCCAGGACCGGGAUGCGGAUCCCCGGUUGUCUCUGUGUCCCCUCCUGUCCCCUCGCAGUCCCGGGAGCCGUUGUCUGUGCCGAGGCUGCUCCCCUCCCUCUCCAGCUCUGUGUCCCCAGGCCCAUCGUGUCCAUGUCCCCCCUGUCCCCCGUGUCCCCUCGCCCGAGCUCUACCCUUUGCCCGGCGUGUCCACUGCCCGGGUUGUUCUCUUGCCCACAGAUGUCCCCCUUCCCGUGAUGUCCCCCUUUCCUGGGAUGUCCCCUUUCCCGGGAAGUCCUCCGUUCCAGGGAAGUCCCUCUGCCUGGCACGUUCUCCUUUCCAGGGAAGGCUCCCUGCCCGCAGUAUCCCCUUUCCCGGGACGUUCCCCUUCCCAGGCAUGUCCCUCUGCCCGGGAUGUCCCUUUGCCCGGGGUGUCACCUUUCCCGGGACGUUCCUCUGCCCGGAAUGUCCCUCUGAGGAGCGUGUCCCAUCUCCAUGGCUGUCCCCCUGCUUGUGUGACACCGCCGUGGCUCUGCUGUCCCUCCGGGGCUGGGACGCCGUGGCCGAGGGACAACGGGACAGCGGGACAGGAGGACAGAGGGACAGCGGGACACGGGACAGGGGGAUAGCGGGACACGGGACAGGGGGCCAGCGGGACAUGGGGCCAGCCGCGCUGCUCUGA
rnacentral:lncRNA from 1 species